GCCAGUGUGGUGUAGUGGUUUGAGUGUUGGACUAUGACUCUGGAGGCUAGGGUUCUAAUCCUGGUUUGGCC